GUCCACGCUGUAAACGAUGGGCACUAGGUGUCCGGGGUAUUGACCCCCUGGGUGCCGCAGCUAACGCAUUAAGUGCCCCGCCUGGGGAGUACGGUCGCAAGAUUAAAACUCAAAGGAAUUGACGGGGGCCCGCACAAGCGGUGGAGCAUGUGGUUCAAUUCGACGCAACGCGAAGAACCUUACCUGGGCUAGACAACGGUGGACAGCUCUAGAAAUAGGGUCUUCCCUUCGGGGACUGCCGGUUCAGGUGCUGCAUGGCUGUCGU
rnacentral:rRNA from 1 species